rnacentral:sRNA from 1 species
CAGAGACCUUUACUAAGCCGACUCACACAGGGAGAUGGGGUACUUUUUAGAAGGUGACAUUUCUCUUGCUGAAACCUGAUCUAUUUUUCCUGUCAAUGCAGAUCUGGAAACAGUUGCCACAUCUAAAGGCAGUCGUGAUAUAUAAAGAACCUCCUCCAAACAAGAUGGCCAAUGUGUACACGAUGGAGGAAUUCAUGGAGCUGGGGAAUGAAGUGCCUGAGGAAGCCCUGGACGCCAUCAUUGACACCCAGCAGCCCAACCAGUGCUGUGUGCUAGUCUACACUUCCGGCACCACUGGGAACCCCAAGGGCGUGAUGCUGAGUCAAGACAAUAUCACAUGGACGGCACGGUACGGCAGCCAGGCCGGUGACAUCCGGCCGGCAGAAGUCCAGCAGGAGGUGGUAGUCAGCUACCUGCCCCUCAGCCAUAUUGCCGCCCAGAUCUACGACCUGUGGACAGGCAUCCAGUGGGGGGCCCAGGUUUGCUUUGCCGAACCCGACGCCCUGAAGGGGAGCCUGGUGAACACGCUGCGGGAGGUGGAGCCCACAUCACACAUGGGGGUGCCCCGGGUGUGGGAGAAGAUCAUGGAGCGCAUCCAGGAGGUGGCGGCUCAAUCUGGCUUCAUCCGGCGAAAGAUGCUGCUGUGGGCCAUGUCGGUGACCUUGGAGCAGAACCUCACCUGCCCCGGCAGCGACCUGAAGCCCUUCACAACCAGACUGGCAGAUUACCUGGUG